UGUCCUCAUGCUCAGUCAUCCAUGCUGAAUUAUCUUCCACUCCUCCCUCUGGGAAUAACUAAGGCUCUGACCCAGUGGGACUGUUUGUGUGCUUAAAUGCUUUGAUGGACCAGAUGCUGAGCUGCUUGCUCCCAAACCUACGGUGGCUGGGGAUUUCAGGCUGUAUUUUCAGAAACAGUUUGUGCACUGGGAAGCAUAGUCUAACUGAAAGUCAGCAAAGGACACUGGCUUGUGCAUUUUCAAGUAUUCUAUCUAUCAUCUUUAAACCUUUCUGUUCUCUUUAGUUUCCAAACAACCAUCUUUCCAAGUUUUGAUCUCCUAUAGAGGAUAUACAGCUGUAAUAAAUAUAUUUCACUUCAUUUCCGAAUCCUCCAGGAGAAGAAACUCGUGCAUCUGCACAAGAAAGGAACAACUUUUUCCACUAUGCAAGAGGAUGCUGACAACUCAAUUUUGGUCACUUACUGCCAAACUCAACUUGCAACAGUCAACUCCUGUCAGAACAGAAGGGGAUUUUUUUAUGCCACACGCAAAUCCUUCCUGUUGCUCCUCUAAUCAACGUGAAUCCCUAAGGUAAUACUGAAGUACUGAAUACUGUUUAGCCACGGUAGUGGGCAGCUCUUUGAUAAACAGUUAGUAAAUGAAUGUUUCUUUAAUCCCUUUUUCGAGGUAGUAAACGAGAGCUCGGCUUAUCAACUGAGCAGUAUUAGGAACAAGAGAAAAUGUGAUGCAGAAAUGCGUUCCAGAUCACAGUCUUUCAUUCCUGCAUUAGUUCAUUUUCAAAGUUGUACAGGCGUGAGCCAAAAUCUCAGCCUACUUUGCUUGAAAAACAGUAAGGAACAAAAGGCCUUGAUCCAGUCGCUGUGCAGACGGAUGACACGAUUGCUAAACAGAAAAAUGACGGCAGGGCCUAGCAAUACUGUGGCCACACAAAAAGCCCCUGGUCUUACAGGUAUAGUCAUCAUUGGCAUAUACUGA
rnacentral:lncRNA from 1 species